rnacentral:rRNA from 1 species
UACGUAGGGGGCUAGCGUUGUCCGGAUUUAUUGGGCGUAAAGGGCGCGUAGGCGGCGCGGUAAGUCACUUGUGAAAUCUCUGAGCUUAACUCAGAACGGCCAAGUGAUACUGCAGUGCUAGAGUGUGGAAGGGGCAAUCGGAAUUCUUGGUGUAGCGGUGAAAUGCGUAGAUAUCAAGAGGAACACCUGAGGUGAAGACGGGUUGCUGGGCCAACACUGACGCUGAUGCGCGAAAGCCAGGGGAGCAAACGGG